UACGGGGGGAGCAAGCGUUGUUCGGAUUUACUGGGCGUAAAGGGCGCGUAGGCGGCGCAACAAGUCACUUGUGAAAUCUCCGGGCUUAACCCGGAGCGGCCAAGUGAUACUGUCGUGCUAGAGUGCGGAGGGGGCUACUGGAAUUCUCGGUGUAGCGGUGAAAUGCGUAGAUAUCGAGAGGAACACCUGCGGCGAAGGCGGGUAGCUGGGCCGACACUGACGCUGAGGCGCGAAAGCCAGGGGAGCGAACGGG
rnacentral:rRNA from 1 species